rnacentral:rRNA from 1 species
ACGGCCUAAAGCGUGGUUAAACGAUAUUAAAAUAAAUAGAAAUAAAAAUUAAUUCAACUGUCGCACGUAUUUAUUAAACAUAGAACCAAAACCGAAAGAUAUUCUAAUAAACAAAUUACUUGACCCCACGAAAGCUAAGAAACAAACUAGGAUUAGAUACCCUACUAUGCUUAACCUUAAACUUUGGAACCACCCCGCCUGAGUACUACGAGCCAUAGCUUAAAACUCAAAGGACUUGGCGGUGCUCUAUACCCCCCUAGAGGAGCCUGUUCUAUAAUUGAUAAUCCCCGAUAAACCUCACCACUUAUUGCCAAUACCGCCUAUAUACCGCCGUCGUCAGCUCACCAUUUAAAUGAAUAAAAGUAAGCAUAAUGAUAAACAUAAAAACGUCAGGUCAAGGUGUAGCGAAUUAAGUGGAAAGAAAUGGGCUACAUUUUCUACACAGAAAAUACGAAUAAUCUUAUGAAAAAAUAUUUAAAGGUGGAUUUAGCAGUAAAAAGAAAAUAGAGUGUUCUUUUUAAACAGGCCCUAGAGCGCGCACACACCGCCCGUCACCCUCCUCAAAAAACCAAAUAAUAAUAAUAUAAUAAUAAAAACAUAAAAGAAGAGGUAAGUCGUAACAUGGUAAGUUUACCGGAAGGUGUACUUGGAUUAU